AGCGGUGGUUAUUGGUUCACCACUAUAAAUACCCUGACACCUCUCAGGUAUCACUAAGUUCCAAUAUACAUUCUAACCUGCUCCCACUCUUGCUAAUUUAAGCAUCGGAGUGUCUUUGCAGGUACCACCCCCCAUUCUUUCUCACGCACAAGUCGGACGGAGGAACACCGAGUACCAGGUCCACUCGAUAGCCACCUCCCUCACACGUUUGGGCCAACCUACGCCAUCCGGCCCAUUAAUCUCCGGUUACCCACCGUAACAAGAAUAAAUAUUUAGGAAAUAUUUUAAGCCUAUAUAAAACAUUAAUUAUCAUAAACCCCUUACUUUUUGUAAUGACUUGCAAGUAUAGUUAUUGCUGUAAUAUAUUAUUACUUUUAGUAAAGGACUAUAUUCAUGUAUGUCUAUGGAUGAAAGUUGUGAAUUCUCUUUGCAUUUCCAAACUAUAUAAGAAUAAUGUAAUCUUUUCAAUAUCCAGAAGAAUUAAGUGAAGAUAGUUUUGCGCCACGCAUAGAAACCAAAAUGGUUUCCCCCCUUUUUUUUUUUUGCUUUAAACUAUAAUUUAUAUUAUGCCACCAUUGUAUAUACAUGACGUAAUUUUUAUAAUUAAUUAUUUAAUCUUUUUCCCCUCACUUUUGUUACACAAAGCAACUCCUAAUUAGUAUUAUGUUUUCAAUGUUUUUAUGAGGCAUGAAGCUUUAAUUUCCACCUUUUGUGGUCUAUAUUUUAUAUUUAGCACCGUUUAAUGCACACUAUAUCGUCAUAUAAGUUCGUUCUUAUUGCACAACAAACAAUUAGAUAUCCUCUAGUUGAGCUAGAAUAUGUCUCUCCAACUAGCUAGAAUGAUUAACAAUUGAAAACAACGCUUAAAUUGGAUGUUUCUGUUUUGCUUAUAUUAAUAUUUUGCAGCUCUUGAUAUAAGGAAAAGACAUGAACUUAGUAAGACAUUCUUAGUUCUGGAAUCAUAUCUUACAAAAUAAGUAUUUAUAAAACAUGAUCAUCGAUCAUAAAUUUAUGAUUGCGAGAAAACAAAAGGAGAGUGAUUGAUGAGUGGCCAAUGACCAAGUUAACUAUAACAUUUUAUGAGGCAUAUAAAGCUUUUCAAAUUUUAUAUUACGCAUCGUCUGAUGUUCAAUAUAUAUCAUAUAUGUUCUUACACAAUUAAACGAAAUUAUUAUCUAAUGAAUAGUUAUCAUAGAUGGUUCAAGAGACAUGUUCAAGCUUAACUAUGCAAAAACCUCAUUCGCUAAAAGUUAGAAGGUUUUUUUUAUUAAUAUUUUCUAACUCUUGUUACAAUGAGGGGACAUGACUUAAGAAAGGAAUAUACUAGUUCUAGGCUUCUAGCUAGAAUAAUCAUAACAAAUAUUUAGGGAAUAUUUUAAGCCUAUAUAAAGCAUAUGAAAUACAUAUCAUAUACUAAUGUUUUCAAGAUAAAAAAGAAGAGUGAUCAAUGGCUAAGAAUAGUGUAGCACUUGCAAUUGCAAUGUUAAUGAUUUUAGUAAUUACUUGUUCUGGUGCGAUAGAAGAGUUUCAUCAUGAAACUAUUCCUGAAGAGGUUUGGACUACAUCUUAUUAUAUUGCAUCUGGCUCUCUAGAAUACUGUGCCAAGGAGUGCACGAUACGCUAUAAGAACAAUUUGAAAAUGAAGAAAGAAUGUGUUAAGAAUUGCAUUAUCCGCAAAUGCAGUCUACUUUUUCCGACAGAUGAAACAAAACAGAUCCAAUGCACUGUCCGUCUUGUUGCUCAGUACAACAAGAAAUUCUUUGUUAGGGAUCCGAUGAAUUUCAACAACAAUUAGCCAAGAGAGGAUAAGGCCUGCAAAAAGCAUACAUAGUUAAAGAUUACGAAGAUUUCUAAAUCCAAACACAAUCUUGACGCAUCCAAAUAUUUGAAACCCACCAUUCCCCCUCAUAAAAUGAGCCACCUUUAACUAUAUCUACAUCCAAUGUAUUUUUUUUUUUUUCAUUUCUAUCGUCAACUAAAAAACCAAACCAAACCCAAAAGCAACAACAAAAAUCAAAUAAAACUCCUUAAACAUUACAUCCAAAUUUUAUCACCGUCACAACAUAUACAAAUAUAGUGAGCAUUGAUCUUUAGAGCAAAGCAGAACCUACAUCCUAUGGAACAUUCCGGAACAACGCAGAACCCUAAUGAGGAGGCAAAUGAUGAGAGGUUUUUGGCAAGGUGAGGCAGGACUUUUGGCGGGAAGCAAAUAGUUUGCAGGAGGGAGUUGUGCAACUUUACCAUUUUCCAUAUCUACUCUUCUUCCUUAAUGUUACAUUGUUAUGUGUUUUUUUAUUAUUAAUGUUAUGCUUGUUAUAGGCUAACAAAUUUGAUAGUUAAAAAUGGGUGUUUUCAUUUUUUGUUUUUAUUUUUGUCGAUGUCAAAUUUGAUAAAUUUUGUUGUUAAAAGGAGUAUUUUCAUUUCUUUGGGACAUACUUGAGAUUCUUGUUAGAAUCAUUCCAAAAUCCAAAAGGAAGUAUAUUUGUAUUUGGAUUUGGAAGAUUUUAUUUAUUGACGUACUACUUUUUGAGAUGAUGGUUUUUGUAAUUGUUAA